GACCUCAAAUCAGGUAGGACUACCCGCUGAACUUAAGCAUAUCAAUAAGCGGAGGAAAAGAAACUAACAAGGAUUCCCCUAGUAACUGCGAGUGAAGCGGGAAAAGCUCAAAUUUAAAAUCUGGCGGUCCCUGUGGCCGUCCGAGUUGUAAUUUAGAGAAGUGUUAUCCGCGCUGGACCGUGUACAAGUCUCCUGGAAUGGAGCGUCAUAGAGGGUGAGAAUCCCGUCUUUGACACGGACUGCCAGGGCAUUGUGAUACGCUCUCAAAGAGUCGAGUUGUUUGGGAAUGCAGCUCAAAAUGGGUGGUAAAUUCCAUCUAAAGCUAAAUAUUGGGGAGAGACCGAUAGCGAACAAGUACCGUGAGGGAAAGAUGAAAAGAACUUUGGAAAGAGAGUUAAACAGUACGUGAAAUUGCUGAAAGGGAAACGCUUGAAGUCAG
rnacentral:rRNA from 1 species